UACAGAGGUCCCAAGCGUUGUUCGGAUUCAUUGGGCGUAAAGGGUGCGUAGGCGGCGCGGUAAGUCGGGUGUGAAAUCUCGGAGCUCAACUCCGAAACUGCAUUCGAUACUGCCGUGCUUGAGGACUGGAGAGGAGACUGGAAUUUACGGUGUAGCGGUGAAAUGCGUAGAUAUCGUAAGGAAGACCAGUGGCGAAGGCGGGUCUCUGGACAGUUCCUGACGCUGAGGCACGAAGGCCAGGGGAGCAAACGGG
rnacentral:rRNA from 1 species